rnacentral:lncRNA from 1 species
CAGGCAAGAAAGAGAAAAGUUAGAGAGGAAUAUGACAAGAGGAUGAAAGAAACAAUAAGGCACAGGAAAAUGAAUCUUAAAAGCAGGCAGAAGGAGAUAAGGUCAAAGGUCUGUUAGCACAGGUGCCAUCACUAGAAUUUCCAGCACACCAGCACCAACCCAGGGACCAUGUUCUCAUCAAAGGGUGGAAGGAAGGGAAACUUGAGCCCACCUGAGUAGGCCCCUAUCUUGUGCUCUUAACCACUGAGAUUGCCGUCUGCACAGCUGAGAAAUGAUGGACCCACCAUACUUCAGUCAAGGAAUCAUCUUCCUCAUCAGAAUCAUGGGUUACUAUACCAGGAUCGAGUCCUACCAAGUUAAAAUUAAA